AGAGUUUGAUCCUGGCUCAGAUUGAACGCUGGCGGAAUGCUUUACACAUGCAAGUCGAACGGCAGCAUAGAGAGCUUGCUCUCUGAUGGCGAGUGGCGAACGGGUGAGUAAUAUAUCGGAACGUGCCUAGUAAUGGGGAACAACUAAUCGAAAGAUUAGCUAAUACCGCAUACGACCUACGGGUGAAAGCAGGGGAUCUUCGGACCUUGCGUUAUUAGAGCGGCCGAUAUCUGAUUAGCUUGUUGGUAGGGUAAAAGCCUACCAAGGCAACGAUCAGUAGCUGGUCUGAGAGGACGAUCAGCCACACUGGAACUGAGACACGGUCCAGACUCCUACGGGAGGCAGCAGUGGGGAAUUUUGGACAAUGGGGGCAACCCUGAUCCAGCCAUUCCGCGUGAGUGAAGAAGGCCUUCGGGUUGUAAAGCUCUUUCACAAGAGAAGAAAUCUUACUAUCAAAUAAAUAGUAAGGAUGACGGUAUCUUGAGAAGAAGCACCGGCUAACUACGUGCCAGCAGCCGCGGUAAUACGUAGGGUGCGAGCGUUAAUCGGAAUUACUGGGCGUAAAGCGUGCGCAGGCGGUUUUAUAAGUCAGAUGUGAAAUCCCCGAGCUCAACUUGGGAACUGCGUUUGAAACUGUAAGACUAGAGUGUGUCAGAGGGGGGUAGAAUUCCAUGUGUAGCAGUGAAAUGCGUAGAUAUGUGGAGGAAUACCAAUGGCGAAGGCAGCCCCCUGGGAUAACACUGACGCUCAUGAACGAAAGCGUGGGGAGCAAACAGGAUUAGAUACCCUGGUAGUCCACGCCCUAAACGAUGUCUACUAGUUGUUGGUGGAGUAAAAUCCAUGAGUAACGCAGCUAACGCGUGAAGUAGACCGCCUGGGGAGUACGGUCGCAAGAUUAAAACUCAAAGGAAUUGAC
rnacentral:rRNA from 1 species